GGUUUGAUCCUGGCUCAGAUUGAACGCUGGCGGAUGUUUUAUACAUGCAAGUCGAACGGCAGCACGGACUUCGGUCUGGUGGCGAGUGGCGAACGGGUGAGUAAUGUAUCGGAACGUGCCUAGUAGCGGGGGAUAACUACGCGAAAGGUAGCUAAUAAUGCGCCACAGCCCUUCGGGGGAAAGCGGGGACUUUCGGGCCUCGCACUAUUAGAGCGGCCGAUAUCGGAUUAGCUAGUUGCGGGGUAACGGGCUCACCAUAUACGAUCCGUAGCUGGUUUGAGAGGACGACCAGCCACACUGGGACGAGGACAUUGCCCAGAUCACGGAGGCAGCAGUGGGGAACGGACAAUGGGGGAACCCCGAUCCAGCCAUCCCGCGUGUGCGAUGAAGGCCUUCGGGUUGUAAAGCACUUAUGUAUGGAAGAAACGGCACGGGAUAAUACCCCGCAACUGAUUGGCACCUGCAGAAUAAGCACCGGCUAACUACGUGCCAGCAGCCGCGGUAAUACGUAGGGUGCAAGCGUUAAUCGGAAUUACUGGGCGUAAAGCGUGCGCAGGCGGUUCGGAAAGAAAGAUGUGAAAUCCCAGAGCUUAACUUUGGAACUGCAUUUUUAACUACCGAGCUAGAGGUGUCGAGGAGGAAUUGCGGUAGCAGUGAAAUGCGUAGAUAUGCGUGGAGGAACACCGAUGGCGAAGGCAGCCUCCUGGGAUAACACUGACGCUCAUGCACGAGCGGGAGCAAACAGGAUUAGAUACCCCGUAGUCCACGCCCUAAACGAUGUCAACUAGCUGUUAAAUUUCGGGCCUUGGUAGCGCAGCUAACGCGUGAAGUUGACCGCCUGGGGAGUACGGUCGCAAGAUUAAAACUCAAAGCGAAUUGACGGGGACCCGCACAAGCGGUGGAUGAUGUGAUUGAUUAAUUCGAUGCAACGCGAAAAACCUUUACCUACCCUUGACAUGUCUGGAAUCCCGAAGAGAUUUGGAGUGUCGCAAGAGAACCGGAACACAGGUGCUGCAAGGCUGUCGUCAGUCAGUGUCGUGAGAUGUUGGGUUAAGUCUCGUAACGAGCGCAACCCUUGUCAUUAGUUGCCAGCGAAGUGGCGAAUUUCCAUCGAGACUGCCGGUGACAAACCGAGGGAGGUGGGGAUGACGUCAAGUCCUCAUGGCCCUUGCGGUAGGGCUUCACACGUCAUACAAUGGUCGGGACAGAGGGUCGCCAACCCGCGAGGGGAGCCAAUCCCAGAAACCCGAUCGUAGUCCGGAUCGCAGUCUGCAACUCGACUGCGUGAAGUCGGAAUCGCUAGUAAUCGCGGAUCAGCAUGUCGCGGUGAAUACGUUCCUGGCUCGGUACACGACUCGCCCGUCACACCAUGGAGUGGUUUUAUCAUGAAGUAGUUAGCCCCUAACCGUGGCGAGGGCGAUUACCACGGUAGGAUUCAUGACUGGGGUGAAGUCGUAACAAGGUAG
rnacentral:rRNA from 1 species